rnacentral:rRNA from 1 species
GACGAACGCUGGCGGCGUGCUUAACACAUGCAAGUCGAACGGAAAGGCCCCCACUUUUUUGGUGGGGGUGCUCGAGUGGCGAACGGGUGAGUAACACGUGGGUGAUCUGCCCUGUACUUCGGGAUAAGCUUGGGAAACUGGGUCUAAUACCGGAUAGGACCAUGGUUUAGUGUCUCAUGGGGGAAAAAUUAUUGUUUUGGUGCAGGAUGAGCUCGCGGCCUAUCAGCUUGUUGGUGGGGUAAUGGCCUACCAAGGCGUCGACGGGUAGCCGGCCUGAGAGGGUGGACGGCCACAUUGGGACUGAGAUACGGCCCAGACUCCUACGGGAGGCAGCAGUGGGGAAUAUUGCACAAUGGGCGCAAGCCUGAUGCAGCGACGCCGCGUGGGGGAUGACGGCCUUCGGGUUGUAAACUCCUUUCGUUAGGGACGAAGCCGCACCUUUUUUGGGUGUGGUGACGGUACCUUUGUUAAGAAGCACCGGCUAACUACGUG